rnacentral:rRNA from 1 species
CAAGUCGAACGGUAACAGGAAGAAGCUUGCUUCUUUGCUGACGAGUGGCGGACGGGUGAGUAAUGUCUGGGAAACUGCCUGAUGGAGGGGGAUAACUACUGGAAACGGUAGCUAAUACCGCAUAACGUCGCAAGACCAAAGAGGGGGACCUUCGGGCCUCUUGCCAUCGGAUGUGCCCAGAUGGGAUUAGCUAGUAGGUGGGGUAACGGCUCACCUAGGCGACGAUCCCUAGCUGGUCUGAGAGGAUGACCAGCCACACUGGAACUGAGACACGGUCCAGACUCCUACGGGAGGCAGCAGUGGGGAAUAUUGCACAAUGGGCGCAAGCCUGAUGCAGCCAUGCCGCGUGUAUGAAGAAGGCCUUCGGGUUGUAAAGUACUUUCAGCGGGGAGGAAGGGAGUAAAGUUAAUACCUUUGCUCAUUGACGUUACCCGCAGAAGAAGCACCGGCUAACUCCGUGCCAGCAGCCGCGGUAAUACGGAGGGUGCAAGCGUUAAUCGGAAUUACUGGGCGUAAAGCGCACGCAGGCGGUUUGUUAAGUCAGAUGUGAAAUCCCCGGGCUCAACCUGGGAACUGCAUCUGAUACUGGCAAGCUUGAGUCUCGUAGAGGGGGGUAGAAUUCCAGGUGUAGCGGUGAAAUGCGUAGAGAUCUGGAGGAAUACCGGUGGCGAAGGCGGCCCCCUGGACGAAGACUGACGCUCAG